CCGCUUCCUCCUCCGCGGCACCUGCAGACACCGGCACGGCUCGGCUCGGCACAGCGAGUGGCCCCAAGAGUGAAGCCCUUUUCGAACCACGUCCAGUUGUAUCAUGAUUCCACUAAAGCCAAAUCACAGCACUGCGUGAAUAACGUCGGAGUGGAUUAUUUCUUGCAAUCACAUCAUGAAUGAUCGUCCAAGUCAUCCAAGUGGGCAAAUGGUUGAUGUAGCAGAGACUUGCUAAAAUAGGCAAGAUUUAAUUUCAUGUAAAUGAAGUACAUCUGGGACUGGUAUUUCUGAUAUGUGUGUAAAUGUGAAGAGAGCAACUCCUUGCGCUUGUUUCCCUACAGCCCUCUUUCCUCAUGGCCUCAUGAGCAGGGCAAAAAAGGCUCUGCUUUCCUGUUCUGCCUUGGAUGUAGCAUUGGCUAUUAUAGCCAUGACCUUGCAAACAUAUGCUGCUUCAAACAAGAAAAAUCUAUUGUGUACAAAGGGGUUGACUGGGGUCCUCAGGAAGAUGCCUUUGUGUAAGCGGUACACUGAAAAUGUGGUUCUCCUUGCAAAUCUUCCGCCUGACACAUUGCCUUCGGUCGGGUGCUCACUGUUGCAUGGUCUGCUGUGCUUUGGACUGAACAUCAUUUUCACAAAUGCCCUGUUAUCAUUACAGAAAUAUUUCAUUUUCAGCAACAUGCAGCAAGACCCCAGUCAAGCAGAAGUACGUGGCUGGACAUAGCUUAGUAUAUGCUAGUAGUUGAUGGGAGUUGAUUUGUCUGGAGGUACAGAUUUACUGAAGGGGAGAAAAGUGGUCUGUGUCCCCUGCAUUACCUGUGCUACAUGAGUCCCUUCACCUGGCUGUGUGAUGGGGAAGCAACUUACUAUCCUGGAUGUACCUAGAGCUUUGCACACCUGUAGGUUUGGACUCCGAAGCAGAACUUGUUGAAAAUAUUUUUUUUAUGUUUCAACUAAGUUCAAAUGCAGUGGUAAGCGCAUGAGUCUGAUCAUCUCCAGCUGUCGUGGAAUCUCCAGAAGAGGACCUCAGACAGAAAGGAUCUCUUCCCUCCUUCAGUCUUUACAGGAGCUCUGCCUGUGUAAGAAAAGGACACGUAGCCUGCCUUACGCAGAGGUCUGUGAGAUCUCUUGGAGCUGGGAGCUGUCUGCGUUGAGGCUUUGUGCCUUUGCACAGCUGUAGUCUUGCGAAGGUCUCAUGUGGGAACGGGAAGGUGUCUGGGGGGACCUGCAGUAUGUGCAAUGUGUCAUGUCUCUUUCUUCAUACACACAACAAUUCAAGUCAGAAUAGAUCUAUACAAGAAAAGCAGAGUAAAAUUGUGGAUUUCUGUUGAGAAUCCGCACAUCUGGGAGAACACCAGUCCUACCUUGCUAGUUAUAAAACAGGGGCAAAGCAACCAGGAGAGCCUAAGAUUUAGGGAGCGUGCUGAAGUUUGUAGAGAACAAAAGAUGGCUUUUGCAACUGUAAGUCAUUUCAUCAUUGGUCUGGGAAGUGCAUUAACAUUGCUUUGUUUCCAUGUGUGACCCUGAGUCUCUUUCAGUUUUUGCUAUGUCUGCUCAUGUUGUACAUCUUCAGCUGUCAGUAAGUCAGGAAGCUGCAAACGGAAGGUGGGUGAGAAAGUGGGCUACCUCAGGGAGUGCAGAGACGAUGUCUGAAGGGAAAGCUGGCAUUUCCACUGCAGUUAAGCAAGUUCCUGUAGUCAACAACAAUCUCGAGUGCUCUGCUUGUUCUCAGAAAUUGUAUAGAUCCAUCAUUUGGAGCUUGCAUUAAUACAUAUUUGCAGUAAUGUUAUUAAAUGUGCACUAUAAAUACACAUGUUGUUCAGAGUAAUAGGCUAAUAUUUCCAAAAACAUUUUGGCAUUAUCCAGGGCUAGUUUCUAAGAUCAAAAUGCUGAGAGAUCAGAGAAAACUUUUUCACUCCUAAAAUAUGUUUCUAACAGUGGCUUCUACUGUACUCAGCAGAGAGAUUCAAUGGAGUUUCACCAGAUGUGAAGUUUUGUCAUAGACGUCUCAUCUGUGAUAAGAGGAUGCCCCAUCUUUGUGGCACUUGGAACUGUAAAAAGUCAAGCGAUAAAUGAUAUUAAAUAUUAUGUGUAGUGGUUUUAUUA